rnacentral:rRNA from 1 species
UACGGAGGGAGCUAGCGUUGUUCGGAAUUACUGGGCGUAAAGCGCGUGUAGGCUGCUCAGAAAGUCGGAUGUGAAAGCCCUGGGCUUAACCUAGGAAGUGCAUUCGAAACUUCUGAGCUUGAGUUCUGGAGAGGAAGGCGGAAUUCUCGGUGUAGAGGUGAAAUUCGUAGAUAUCGAGAGGAACACCGGUGGCGAAGGCGGCCUUCUGGACAGUGACUGACGCUGAGACGCGAAAGCGUGGGGAGCAAACAGG